AUUAUUUUAUCCAUAUCUCACGUUUUGUAUGUUCCAUUUUAAAACUGCUUUCAGCGAUACUUUGGCUAGUAGAAACUAUAUCAUUUUGUCUAAAUUUGCCCAUUUAGCGAUGUUUUCGUGCCGCCGUGCAUGGUUCUUACGUUCUUGGCAACAUUUGCACAUCUCGGGUCAUUUACAACACACACCAUACUAUAUCCACAAAAAAUUUGG